rnacentral:rRNA from 1 species
UGGGGAAUAUUGCACAAUGGGCGAAAGCCUGAUGCAGCGACGCCGCGUGCGGGAUGAAGGCCUUCGGGUUGUAAACCGCUUUUAAUUGGGAGCAAGCGAGAGUGAGUGUACCUUUUGAAUAAGCACCGGCUAACUACGUGCCAGCAGCCGCGGUAAUACGUAGGGUGCAAGCGUUAUCCGGAAUUAUUGGGCGUAAAGAGCUCGUAGGCGGUUUGUCACGCCUGGUGUGAAAGUCCAUCGCUUAACGGUGGAUCUGCGCCGGGUACGGGCAGGCUAGAGUGCAGUAGGGGAGAUUGGAAUUCCCGGUGUAACGGUGGAAUGUGUAGAUAUCGGGAAGAACACCAAUGGCGAAGGCAGAUCUCUGGGCUGUUACUGACGCUGAGGAGCGAAAGCAUGGGGAGCGAACAGGAUUAGAUACCCGUGGUAGUCCAUGCCGUAAACGGUGGAU